rnacentral:rRNA from 1 species
GAAGGGAGCUUGCUCCCGGAUGUUAGCGGCGGACGGGUGAGUAACACGUGGGUAACCUGCCUGUAAGACUGGGAUAACUCCGGGAAACCGGAGCUAAUACCGGAUAGUUCCUUGAACCGCAUGGUUCAAGGAUGAAAGACGGUUUCGGCUGUCACUUACAGAUGGACCCGCGGCGCAUUAGCUAGUUGGUGAGGUAACGGCUCACCAAGGCGACGAUGCGUAGCCGACCUGAGAGGGUGAUCRGCCACACUGGGACUGAGACACGGCCCAGACUCCUACGGGAGGCAGCAGUAGGGAAUCUUCCGCAAUGGACGAAAGUCUGACGGAGCAACGCCGCGUGAGUGAUGAAGGUUUUCGGAUCGUAAAGCUCUGUUGUUAGGGAAGAACAAGUGCAAGAGUAACUGCUUGCACCUUGACGGUACCUAACCAGAAAGCCACGGCUAACUACGUGCCAGCAGCCGCGGUAAUACGUAGGUGGCAAGCGUUGUCCGGAAUUAUUGGGCGUAAAGGGCUCGCAGGCGGUUUCUUAAGUCUGAUGUGAAAGCCCCCGGCUCAACCGGGGAGGGUCAUUGGAAACUGGGAAACUUGAGUGCAGAAGAGGAGAGUGGAAUUCCACGUGUAGCGGUGAAAUGCGUAGAGAUGUGGAGGAACACCAGUGGCGAAGGCGACUCUCUGGUCUGUAACUGACGCUGAGGAGCGAAAGCGUGGGGAGCGAACAGGAUUAGAUACCCUGGUAGUCCACGCCGUAAACGAUGAGUGCUAAGUGUUAGGGGGUUUCCGCCCCUUAGUGCUGCAGCUAACGCAUUAAGCACUCCGCCUGGGGAGUACGGUCGCAAGACUGAAACUCAAAGGAAUUGACGGGGGCCCGCACAAGCGGUGGAGCAUGUGGUUUAAUUCGAAGCAACGCGAAGAACCUUACCAGGUCUUGACAUCCUCUGACAACCCUAGAGAUAGGGCUUUCCCUUCGGGGACAGAGUGACAGGUGGUGCAUGGUUGUCGUCAGCUCGUGUCGUGAGAUGUUGGGUUAAGUCCCGCAACGAGCGCAACCCUUGAUCUUAGUUGCCAGCAUUCAGUUGGGCACUCUAAGGUGACUGCCGGUGACAAACCGGAGGAAGGUGGGGAUGACGUCAAAUCAUCAUGCCCCUUAUGACCUGGGCUACACACGUGCUACAAUGGACAGAACAAAGGGCUGCGAGACCGCAAGGUUUAGCCAAUCCCACAAAUCUGUUCUCAGUUCGGAUCGCAGUCUGCAACUCGACUGC